AGUUGACAAAGAACAGGCUAAGAUCAUGUUCCAUUACCCUCAUAGUCUUGCUUCGUUUUCCCUGAGACGAAGCUAAAAAGUAAAUAUUUUUCAGAAAUUACAUUUUGUCAUCAAAGGUUGCUAAGUGAUUUGAUUUUUCUCCAAAAUUGUUUUGAGCCCCUAACUGCCCAUCAGUAUUCAAGCUAGGUUUGUUUGGGGGCUUUUUUUGGCCGCACUCUUGGCAUGAAGAAGUUCCCAGGCCAGGGGUCCACCCAAGCCACAGCAGCAACCUGAGCCACUGCAGCGACAAUGCUGGAUCCUUAAUAAAUAGGCCACCAGACCACUCCCCAAAAUAUUAUUUUAAAUGUUGUGUACAGUUCUCCUCUGAAGGAAGGUACCUAUUUUUUUUUUUAAGGAUGAAAGAAAAGAGAGAAUUCAGUACAGUUCUUUUAUGACUUGAAGACUCUAAGCAGAACUGUUGCCUUAUCUCAGUCAGUGGAGUUCCUGGGGGAGCUCAGAGCUACAGAACCAUCGGGACACCAUCUGCAGGAAUCUCCAUGGAAACAUCCUGACCAGGCCCACCUGUGAAUGGCUGCAGGAAGGAAGAAAUUAACACAUCCCCUCUGGAGGCUGACAGGAACCAGGAAAUGCUUGACUUUUCUCCCUUCCCUUCUUCCUUAUAAAAGAAGCCUGAAUUCUCACUCAGACAAGGUUGUUCUUUGAGACACUAGCCCACUAUCUUCUGGGUCUGCUGGAUUUCCACAUAAAGUCAUAAUUCCAUGCUCCAA